rnacentral:rRNA from 1 species
UACGUAGGGUGCGAGCGUUAAUCGGAAUUACUGGGCGUAAAGCGUGCGCAGGCGCUAUGCAAGACAGAUGUGAAAUCCCCGGGCUCAACCUGGGAACUGCAUUUGUGACUGCAUAGCUAGAGUACGGUAGAGGGGGAUGGAAUUCCGCGUGUAGCAGUGAAAUGCGUAGAUAUGCGGAGGAACACCGAUGCCGAAGGCAAUCCCCUGGACCUGUAC